rnacentral:rRNA from 1 species
GAAACGGGUGGUAAUGCCGGAUGCUCCAUCACACUGCAUGGUGUGUUGGGAAAGCCUUUGCGGCAUGGGAUGGGGUCGCGUCCUAUCAGCUUGAUGGCGGGGUAACGGCCCACCAUGGCUUCGACGGGUAGCCGGCCUGAGAGGGCGACCGGCCACAUUGGGACUGAGAUACGGCCCAGACUCCUACGGGAGGCAGCAGUGGGGAAUAUUGCACAAUGGGCGCAAGCCUGAUGCAGCGACGCCGCGUGAGGGAUGGAGGCCUUCGGGUUGUAAACCUCUUUUGUUAGGGAGCAAGGCACUUUGUGUUGAGUGUACCUUUCGAAUAAGCACCGGCUAACUACGUGCCAGCAGCCGCGGUAAUACGUAGGGUGCAAGCGUUAUCCGGAAUUAUUGGGCGUAAAGGGCUCGUAGGCGGUUCGUCGCGUCCGGUGUGAAAGUCCAUCGCUUAACGGUGGAUCCGCGCCGGGUACGGGCGGGCUUGAGUGCGGUAGGGGAGACUGGAAUUCCCGGUGUAACGGUGGAAUGUGUAGAUAUCGGGA